CACACUCACACACACACACACACACACGCCAAAUUGUCAUGAUGUUUUGGCCUCAUCUCAUUCCUCGUCAUCUCACACACGCUGUGUUGCAUGUGGACGGCGGAACCAUAAUGUUCCUCUGCCGCUCUGCACCUACCUCCUCUUAGAACCUCUAGAGAACCGCAGCUGUGUGCUUAGAACCGCUGACCCCUGACCCCACGUGACCCCUGACCCCAUGUGUCCGUUAAUACACGAGUCUGAACGCAGGUUAACUCACGAAGAACACAACAGAACUAUACAUUAUCAGGCUUAUUAUACUAUACAUUAUCAGGCUUAUUAUACAGUUACACGACAGAACUAUACAUUAUCAGGCUUAUUAUACAGUUACUUGACAAAACUAUACAUUAUCAGGCUUAUUAUACAGUUACUUGACAAAACGAUAAAAGGCAUUUCUUCAAAAUAUCAGUUUGUAAAUGAUUUUGUUGCUGUUGCCUUCCACUGAGAAAAAAAUAGUUCUUCACGCAAAUAGAUUACUUGCUGAUCUGCUAUGAUAAGUGAACGGACUUCUUGCGGAAUGAUGUGAAAGAUGUGAAUUAGAAGCACAAAACCUGUUGUCAUGGCAGCAGUCAUUAUUCGUUUUCAUUACCUCAAAUGUUGGGAUGGCCCAUUCAAUUCUGCAGCAGUCAGAAGAGCCGGAUAAUAAGUGUGUGUUCAGUCAGAAGAACCGUAUAAUAAGUGUGUGUUCAGUCUGAUCAACUCUGUGUUUGUUAAUACACCACCAUCCUCUUCAUCAGUGUUCUUCAGCCAAACUCAGACAAGGUGUGUGUGUGUGUGUGUGGAGGGGGGGGGGGGCUCCUUAUCCAAACUCAGAAUCACACACACACACACACACUGAUACACAUUCACACACACACACACACACACACACACACACACGUAUACACACACACACACACACACACAC
ensembl:lncRNA